UGGCGGCCCUCGGGGCUCCCCCGGUCCCCAAAAUCUUCUCCACGAUGGAGGAGGGGCCGAUCCCCGACGGGAUCAACCCGGGAGAGGCAUGGCUGGAGUCCCAUGGCCGCAGCCUCGGACACUUUGUGAACGGAACGUGGCUGAAGCCGCCAGGACGGACGAGCCUGGAGUGCCAGGAGGCCACCACGGGCCGGACGGUGGCUGCGGUGCCAGCCGGGGACACUUCGGACCUGGCCGUGGCCGUGGCGG